AAAAAAAAGAGGAAACAACCAGCCCCCACCCCAGCCUACACAGCCAGCUAAAGCGGGCGUGUGUAGAUGCCCCACCGCCAACAGAAACAAUCUCCAGUCAUGUGACCUGGCAUCAAAGACUUUUCUGGGCAAGCGCACGUGCUGCGACAACCUAAGUCCAGAUUUCAUCACCGGACACUACCACUGUUCCUGGAAUCAAAACGAUGACUGCGAGUGCCAGAAUGUGCCACAAGUGGACUACUGUCGCGAGAACUCUGACACGAAGGGAACAUUCCAGGCUAAAGACGAGUGCUGUAACGGGAAGAACCCCAUAGGUUCAACGUACAAGUGCGCUUAU